UAAUAUAUUUUAAGUAUUGUAACUGUGCAAUAUUUUUUUUUACGUCAUAUCUCUUCAUACUUUCGGUUUUUCACGUGCAAUGUGUAUAAUGUUUCUGUUAUUGGCAUAAUUUUCCAGUCUCGGUUUUCUUAUGUAUCUUAUUGACUUUAUAGGAAAUGAAAAUUCCAACCAAACCCAACAGUCCGUGGUUCUCGCCUCGUGGCCAACCCCACAUGCUCGCUCUCCACCUCCCCUUCUCUCCCUUCCACAUGCCUUUCUCUCUUCUCAAGUAAUCAAUACUGUGAGGCGUCCUGCACGGGACAGGUACAAUGCUGGUCCAGAUUUUAGAACCAAAGGAGAGAUAGAGUACAGCAUCAAAAGGAGUAAAGAAAAUCCAGUUUAUUUUACUUCGGAAGAGAAUAACGAGAAUAUUGUACGCGUUAUAUACAAUGAGUUGGACGGUAGUACACUUUGUCGAAGAAGAAUCAGUAGAAGCCGUUCCGACACUAUGGGUACAUGGUAAUGUUUGUUACUGGCCACCCUUUUUUGGGAUCUAAAUUAGCACAUAGCAUUAAUAAAUGUGAAGAACCAGUGCUAACUACUUGGAUUCUCCAUAAAAUCAAAAAACUUAGCAAUGGACGUACAUAUGACACCUUACAAAACGCAAAAGGCAGCAUUAGCCGAGGAAACUUCUGAUUUAACUUCAGAUUAUGAUAAAAAGAGGACACCCAAAAAAAACAUUUUUAUGACAGUGAAAAAUCAUCAUAUAAUACCUCGUCUGAGGAUGAAAUAUCUCAUUUAAAAUUGCCACAACCACCUAAAGAUAUUACUGCCAAGACAUGUACACAAUUAGACACACAGCAAUCUUCAUCGAUUUCUGAAAAGCUUCAAAAAGAAGUAAACAAAGAGACGCAAAAAAAUUCACAGAUGGAAUAUGAAGCUACUUGUAGUAAGAAGAAAAUAAAAGAAAAAAACGAGAUCAAUCAAAAAGUAAGUUUCCACGUUUGCAUGAAGCACCAAUAAUGGCUAAUUCCUCUCGUUUGAGUAAUUCCGUUGGUUCUCAGAAAACAAAUACAACAGUACAAAAUGAUGUGAUACUAGAAGAGAAUAUUAAUUAUAAUAAUUGUAAUAAUUGUGGUAAUUAUUUUGUGGUACAUAUAUUUUAAUUUAU